rnacentral:lncRNA from 1 species
GUCUGCUGCUAAACCAACACCCACAUGCCAUUCAUAAAGUCCCUACAGGAAGUCUCCUCCUCCAACCAGGAUUGGUCCUCCAGAGAGGCUGGCCUCAGUCCAGGACCCAUCAACGGCAAAUCUGCUCCGACUGGAUGUGUCCGCCCUGCUGCACAGCCUUUGGGAGAUUAUGCAGGGGUGGAGUUCUGGUCUAACGGUGCUGAAGAGACCAGGGGUGCUGUGUUCGAUGUGAGGCAGAGCCAUGCAGAAGUGUGGAGGUUUUACACUGGAGACAGAAAGCAUUCUAGUUUGCCAAUGAGUGUGUAAACGAUGGUCGGCGUAUAAGGCGAGACCAGUCAGGAUGCCUGGGAUGCUACACUCCUUAAUUUGUGUCCUGCCUGGUAAGCAAAAGGUAGCUCCAAGAAAAGCCACGCUCGAGUCAACAUGAAUCUUGGGAACAGACAACCAUGGAAAGACCGGGAAGGCAGCUGUUCUCCAUGCACGGGAGAUGUGCAGAGACUCAGCUCUGUGUCAGCGAGGACCUGUCUCUUCUCUUAAAAUUGAGAUAAGCAUUCUUAGAGAUAAGCAAAUAAAUCUCUUGGUAAAAUGCCUGCCAC